UACGAAGGGGGCUAGCGUUGCUCGGAAUCACUGGGCGUAAAGCGCACGUAGGCGGCUUUUUAAGUCAGGGGUGAAAUCCUGGAGCUCAACUCCAGAACUGCCUUUGAUACUGAGAGGCUCGAGUCCGGGAGAGGUGAGUGGAACUGCGAGUGUAGAGGUGAAAUUCGUAGAUAUUGGGAAGAACACCGGUGGCGAAGGCGGCUCACUGGCCCGUUACUGACACUCAUGCGCGACAGCGUGGGGAUCAAACAGG
rnacentral:rRNA from 1 species